rnacentral:rRNA from 1 species
AGUAACACGUGGAUAACCUACCUAUAAGACUGGGAUAACUUCGGGAAACCGGAGCUAAUACCGGAUAAUAUUUUGAACCGCAUGGUUCAAAAGUGAAAGACGGUCUUGCUGUCACUUAUAGAUGGAUCCGCGCUGCAUUAGCUAGUUGGUAAGGUAACGGCUUACCAAGGCAACGAUGCAUAGCCGACCUGAGAGGGUGAUCGGCCACACUGGAACUGAGACACGGUCCAGACUCCUACGGGAGGCAGCAGUAGGGAAUCUUCCGCAAUGGGCGAAAGCCUGACGGAGCAACGCCGCGUGAGUGAUGAAGGUCUUCGGAUCGUAAAACUCUGUUAUUAGGGAAGAACAUAUGUGUAAGUAACUGUGCACAUCUUGACGGUACCUAAUCAGAAAGCCACGGCUAACUACGUGCCAGCAGCCGCGGUAAUACGUAGGUGGCAAGCGUUAUCCGGAAUUAUUGGGCGUAAAGCGCGCGUAGGCGGUUUUUUAAGUCUGAUGUGAAAGCCCACGGCUCAACCGUGGAGGGUCAUUGGAAACUGGAAAACUUGAGUGCAGAAGAGGAAAGUGGAAUUCCAUGUGUAGCGGUGAAAUGCGCAGAGAUAUGGAGGAACACCAGUGGCGAAGGCGACUUUCUGGUCUGUAACUGACGCUGAUGUGCGAAAGCGUGGGGAUCAAACAGGAUUAGAUACCCUGGUAGUCCACGCCGUAAACGAUGAGUGCUAAGUGUUAGGGGGUUUCCGCCCCUUAGUGCUGCAGCUAACGCAUUAAGCACUCCGCCUGGGGAGUACGACCGCAAGGUUGAAACUCAAAGGAAUUGACGGC